AUACGGAGGGUGCGAGCGUUAAUCGGAAUUACUGGGCGUAAAGCGUGCGUAGGCGGUUUGUUAAGUCAGAAGUGAAAGCCCUGGGCUCAACCUGGGAACGGCUUUUGAGACUGGCAGACUCGAGUUGAGUAGAGGGGAGUGGAAUUUCCGGUGUAGCGGUGAAAUGCGUAGAGAUCGGAAGGAACACCAGUGGCGAAGGCGACUCCCUGGACUCAAACUGACGCUGAGGUACGAAAGCGUGGGGAGCAAACAGGAUUAGAAACCCUAGUAGUCC
rnacentral:rRNA from 1 species